rnacentral:rRNA from 1 species
UGGGGAAUAUUGGACAAUGGGCGCAAGCCUGAUCCAGCCAUGCCGCGUGAGUGAUGAAGGCCUUAGGGUUGUAAAGCUCUUUCGCCGACGAAGAUAAUGACGGUAGUCGGAGAAGAAGCCCCGGCUAACUUCGUGCCAGCAGCCGCGGUAAUACGAAGGGGGCUAGCGUUGUUCGGAAUCACUGGGCGUAAAGCGCACGUAGGCGGAUUGUUAAGUCAGGGGUGAAAGCCUGGAGCUCAACUCCAGAACUGCCCUUGAUACUGGCAAUCUCGAGUCCGGAAGAGGUAAGUGGAACUGCGAGUGUAGAGGUGAAAUUCGUAGAUAUUCGCAAGAACACCAGUGGCGAAGGCGGCUUACUGGUCCGGUACUGACGCUGAGGUGCGAAAAGCGUGGGGAGCAAAACAGAAUUAGAUACCCUGGUAGUCCACGCCGUAAAACGAUGGAGGCUAGCCGUUGGCGAGCAUGCUCGUCAGUGGCGCAGCUAACGCAUUAAGCCUCCCGCCUGGGGGAGUACGGUCGC